rnacentral:rRNA from 1 species
GCUAAACAGCUAGCUUAAAUACAUAAUAAUAAAACAACAUUAAAUUAACUAAUAUUAAAACAUACAAUAUUUACUAAAACAUUCUCCAGCCCUAGUACGGGAGACAGAAAAGGCCCACUAAAGCAAUAGAAAAAGUACCGCAAGGGAAAGCUGAAAGAGAAAUGAAACAACCCAUUAAAGCACAAAAAAGCAGAGAUUUAACCUCGUACCUUUUGCAUCAUGAUUUAGCCAGAACCUCCUGAGCAAAGAGUACUUUAGUUCAAAGCCCCGAAACCAAGCGAGCUACCUCGAGACAGCCUAUACAGGGCCAACCCAUCUCUGUGGCAAAAGAGUGGGAAGAUCUCCAGGUAGAGGUGAUAAGCCUAUCGAGCUUGGUGAUAGCUGGUUGCCUAAAAAUUGGAUAGAAGUUCAGCCUCGCACUCCUCCCAUCAAACUUAUCAUGAAUCCGAGAAAAAUGCGAGAGUUAAUCAAAGGGGGUACAGCCCCUAUGAAACAGAAUACAACCUUUCCAGGAGGUUAAGGGUCAUAGCAUCAUAAGAUCUCUGCUUCAGUGGGCCUAAAAGCAGCCACCUGUACAAAAAGCGUUAUAGCUCAAGCAGAUAAAAAUCUAUUAUUCAGACACUUCAACCCAAAACCCCUAAACCUAUUAGGCCCUUUCAUGCUCACAUGAAAAAGAUCCUGCUAAAAUGAGUAACAAGAAAAAACACCCAUUUUCUCCCAGCCCCCGUGUAAGUUAGAUCGGACCCUCCACUAACAAUUAACGAACCCAACCAAAGAGAGCACUGCAACCCUCACAAUAACCAAGAAAACCCUGCACAAAAGCAUCGUUAACCCCACACCGGAGUGCCACAAGGAAAGACUAAAAGAAAAGGAAGGAACUCGGCAAACCCUAGCCUCGCCUGUUUACCAAAAACAUCGCCUCCCGCAAAUCAAUAUAUAGGAGGUCCUGCCUGCCCAGUGACAAUAGUUUAACGGCCGCGGUAUCCUGACCGUGCGAAGGUAGCGCAAUCACUUGUCUUUUAAAUAAGGACCUGUAUGAAUGGCAAAACGAGGGCUUAACUGUCUCCCUUUACAAGUCAGUGAAAUUGACCUGCCCGUGCAGAUGCGGACAUAAUAAUACAAGACGAGAAGACCCUUUGGAGCUUAAGACAUAAGCCAACUAUGUUAAUAGCCUAUUUAAAUAGGCUAAACUGUAACACUGGCCUCAGUCUUCGGUUGGGGCGACCACGGAGUAAAACAAAACCUCCACGCGGAUAGGGAAUAUCCUAAAACCAAGAGAGACAUCUCCAAGUCACAGAACAUCUGACCAAAUAGAUCCGGCCUCCCGGCCGAUCAACGAACCAAGUUACCCAAGGGAUAACAGCGCAAUCCCCUUUCAGAGUCCCUAUCGACAAGGGGGUUUACGACCUCGAUGUUGGAUCAGGACAUCCUAAUGGUGCAGCCGCUAUUAAGGGUUCGUUUGUUCAACGAUUAAAGUCCUACGUGAUCUGAGUUCAGACCGGAGAAAUCCAGGUCAGUUUCUAUCUGUAACAUCCCCUUUUCUAGUACGAAAGGACCGAAAAGAGAGGGCCCAUACCACAAGCACGCCCUAUCCUAACUUAAUGAAAACAACUAAAAUAAAUAAAAGGAAGAUAAACACUUAACCAAGAUAAGGUUC